AGGGGCAGAGGAGGUUUCUGUCAGUCACACUAUUUUCUUUCUUGCAUCCUAGGUUGGGAGCAUUUUCAGCUCCGGUGGGGGGAGGGGGGAGCACUCGGUGAGACCCAGGAGACGGUGAUUUCAAAUGGACCGGCUUUGCUUUCUCUUCACAUUAACAGAGCUGCCAUUGAUGGACACAGAGGGUGUUAAAACCCAGAGCACAUAAGCCAGGAUGAGAAAAUUAAUCAGAAGAUAAAAGACAGCGGGCUUUGGGGACCCUGGCCGAGCCCUCCUGCAUGCUCCUGGGACAUCCUUUCAGACCAGCAGCACCAUCCCAUGCAGGGGCUGUGACAGAUGACUUAUAAUGUAGACAUCACCUCUGCUGGUGGACAGCCUUCGGAUUUGCUGAGUCCUUUCAUAACAAAUAAAACCAAACACGACAAAACACUAUAAACCCUUGCUUUCACGAGUGUGUCAUAGCCUGGUGUCUGGAACGGUUUGUUAAAAAAAGAUCAAA
rnacentral:lncRNA from 1 species